CUGCCCAGUGACACAGUUCAACGGCCGCGGUAUCCUAACCGUGCAAAGGUAGCAUAAUAACUUGCCUAUUAAUUGUAGGCUAGAAUGAACGGAUAAACGAAAUAAAAACUGUCUCAAUUAGUCACCUAAAAAUUAUUCUCUAUAUGAAGAAAAAUAGAUAAGUUCGAAGGACAAGAAGACCCUAUAGAGCUUUAUUUAAAGUGUGGGGUAAACCACACUAAUAAUUCGGUUGGGGCGACCUAGGGAAUACAAAACACCCUACUAUUAAUAGAUACAUUAAUCAAUAAACUGACCCUUUAAAGAUCAAAAAAUCAAGCUACCUUAGGGAUAACAGGCUAAUCCCAUUUAAGAGUUCAUAUCAACAAUGGGGUUUGGCACCUCGAUGUUGGCUUAGGGUAUCGAUAUACCGCAAAAGUUAUAUAGUGAUGGUUUGUUCAACCAAUAAUUCCCU
rnacentral:rRNA from 1 species